ACGCACGCUUGCGGCGUGCUUAACACCUGCCAGUCGAACGGAAAGGCCCUGCUGUUGUGGGGUGCUCGAGUGGCGAACGGGUGAGUAACACGUGAGUAACCUGCCCUUGACUUUGGGAUAACUUCAGGAAACUGGGGCUAAUACCGGAUAGGAGCUCCUGCUGCAUGGUGGUGGUUGGAAAGUUUCGGCGGUUGGGGAUGGACUCGCGGCUUAUCAGCUUGUUGGUGGGGUAGUGGCUUACCAAGGCUUUGACGGGUAGCCGGCCUGAGAGUGUGACCGGCCACAUUGGGACUGAGAUACGGCCCAGACUCCUACGGGAGGCAGCAGUGGGGAAUAUUGCACAAUGGGCGGAAGCCUGAUGCAGCAACGCCGCGUGCUGGAUGACGGCCUUCGGGUUGUAAACCGCUUUCGCCUGUGACGAAGCGUGAGUGACGGUAAUGGGUAAAGAAGCACCGGCUAACUACGUG
rnacentral:rRNA from 1 species